GUGAAUAAACAACACGUCAGUCAAACCAACAAACAACAAGGGGAGGGAAAUAUUCGCCUCCUGUCAUUACUCUUACUUUUAUUAUAAGUUACACUAAAGCUAGUAUAAUCUACAAUUUUAUAGCAUGACAGGAGGCGUCAUAUUUGCUGUUUUAACGCUCGGACAGCAAAGACCAAAGAAACACGAUCAGCCGUACCAACCUAAACUCUGCGAAGAUAGCUCCUCG